rnacentral:rRNA from 1 species
CCUACGGGGUGCAGCAGUAGGGACUUUUCGUCAAUGGGCGCAAGCCUGAACGAGCAAUGCCGCGUGAACGAGGAAGGUCUUCGGAUCGUAAAGUUCUGUUGAAGGGGAAAAAGAGCGGAGAGAGGAAAUGGUCUCCGAUUGAUAUUACCCUUCGAGGCAGUCACGGCUAACUACGUGCCAGCAGCCGCGGUAAUACGUAGGUGGCGAGCGUUAUCCGGAAUGAUUGGGCGUAAAGGGUGCGUAGGCGGCCUGCUAAGUCUGGAGUGAAAGGUACCGGCUCAACCGGUACAGGCUCUGGAAACUGGCGGGCUAGAGAGCAGGAGAGGGCGGUGGAACUCCAUGUGUAGCGGUAAAAUGCGUAGAUAUAUGGAAGAACACCAGUGGCGAAGGCGGCCGCCUGGCCUGUUGACUGACGCUGAGGCACGAAAGCGUGGGGAGCAAAUAGGAUUAGAUACCCCAGUAGUC